GGGGCUGAUUCUGGAUUCGACGGGAUUUGCGAAACCCAAGGUGCAUGCCGAGGGGCGGUUGGCCUCGUAAAAAGCCGCAAAAAAAUAGUCGCAAACGACGAAAACUACACUUUAGCAGCUUAAUAACCUGCUUAGAGCCCUCUCUCCCUAGCCUCCGCUCUUAGGACGGGGAUCAAGAGAGGUCAAACCCAAAAGAGAUCGCGCGGAUGCCCUGCCUGGGGUUGAAGCGUUAAAACGAAUCAGGCUAGUCUGGUAGUGGCGUGUCCGUCCGCAGGUGCCAGGCGAAUGUAAAGACUGACUAAGCAUGUAGUACCGAGGAUGUAGGAAUUUCGGACGCGGGUUCAACUCCCGCCAGCUCCACCA
rnacentral:tmRNA from 5 species